GACUUAUCAAGAGAGAUGGAGGGAUUGGCCCGAUGAAGUCUCAGCAACCAGCCUAGAUAAGGUAUGGUGCUAAUUCCAAUAGGCUUACAAGCCUUAAAGAUAAGAA
rnacentral:ncRNA from 2 species